UACGUAGGGGGCAAGCGUUGUCCGGAAUCAUUGGGCGUAAAGCGCGUGUAGGCGGUUAGGUAAGUCUGCUGUGAAAGUCCAGGGCUCAACCCUGGGAUGCCGGUGGAUACUGUCGGACUAGAGUACGGAAGAGGCGAGUGGAAUUCCUGGUGUAGCGGUGAAAUGCGCAGAUAUCAGGAGGAACACCCGUUGCGAAGGCGGCUCCCUGGUCCGUCCCUGACGCUGAGACGCGAAAGCGCGGGGAGCGAACAGG
rnacentral:rRNA from 1 species